GAUGAAGAACGUAGCGAAAUGCGAUAAGUAAUGUGAAUUGCAGAAUGCAGUGAAUCAUCGAAUCUUUGAACGCACAUUGCGCCCGUCAGUAUUCUGGCGGGCAUGCCUGUUCGAGCGUCAUUACGCCCCUCAAGUCCCCUGUGGACUUGGUGUUGGGGAUCGGCGAGGCUGGUUUUCCAGCACAGCCGUCCCUUAAAUUAAUUGGCGGUCUCGCCGUGGCCCUCCUCUGCGCAGUAGUAAAACACUCGCAACAGGAGCCCGGCGCGGUCCACUGCCGUAAAACCCCCCAACUUUUUAUAGUUGACCUCGAAUCAGGUAGGACUACCCGCUGAACUUAAGCAUAUCAAUAAGCGGAGGA
rnacentral:misc_RNA from 1 species